rnacentral:snRNA from 1 species
GUGCUCGCUUUGGCAGCACAUGUAGGAAAUCUGGAACGAUACAGGGAAGGUGAGCAGGGCCCCUGUGCAAGCGUGAUGCUCAGAUUCCCGAAGCCUUCCGUAUUUUU